UGCGCCUGACCCUGCAUUUUCUCACUGAGUUAGAAAAAUAUCCAUAUUUAUACUCGAUUUCCACUCUUGGAACACUUGCUUUUGGAAGCCAGCUGCCAUCUAAGUAUGACUACUCUGAAACCGCCGUGCUGUGAGGAACCCGAGCCAUGUAGAGACUGCGGCCAAGAAGCACCGAGGUGCCAAACGUGUGAGUGAAGAAACCAUCUUGGAACUCCAUCAUCUAGCAGCUGUCUUAGUGGAUACCAUGUAGAUCCUAGACAAAUUGCCCAGCUAAGAUCUUUCCAAAUUCCUGACCCACCAAAUCAUGAGCAAAAUAAAACAGUUGUUUGAAG
rnacentral:lncRNA from 10 species